ensembl:antisense Gm17173 predicted gene 17173
GCCUGUGACAUCAGCAUUCUAGAAAGUGGGACAGGAGGGCCUGGAGUUAGAGGCCAGUCUGGGCUAUGUAAUUUGACUAUGUCACAAAAGUAGGGAGAUAAAAGGGGGGAUGAGUGAAGAAAUGAAGGUGAAGGCUGUGUAGCAGGAUCAACCGUGUUGGCAGCUGCUCCUGGAAGCUGUAAUUUGCUGAUUUUUUUUUUCUGUAUUGUUAAAAUCUCUGCCCUGUCUGUCCUGUUCCUUAACCUCAUUCUUCGUUUCCCCCUCACAUCGGAGCUGGAUUCUCACAAGGUAGCUCAGGCUGCAGACUCUCCAGUGUUGGGCAAGUUACAGGUAAUGAAGCUACUGUUGCUUGUCCAGGCCACACUUUCAGAAGUGUUGAUCUAGCAUGCCUGCCUGAGUUUACUGGAACACAGAAACUCAGGGACAGAAAGUGGUCAACUGCCAUGGAACUGAAAGGACACAGAUUCCUGUCACCUGGUGGAUCCCAUGAGUCACCUGGUGGAUCCCAUGAGUCAUACGAUAGAUCCCAUGAGUCCUAAGCCACUGAACAUGGCCACUCCAUUGCCCUCCACUUUGUCUUUGGGUGUUGCUGUCCUGUGUGGACUCUUAACUGAGGACUUAAAGUGCUCCCAGUGUCCUUCUGAGCCCUGCUUUGCUUUGGCUCGGCUAGCCCAGCUCACUGCAGCCCCAUGCAACAUCUCAUUCCCUCUACUAACAGCAGACUGAAGCUGUAAGAGGCAGGUGUGAAUGCCACUGCCAUCACCCUUCACAGAGGCUACGUCCUGAGUGGGUCUCCUACUGUGCUCAAUGCCCUGUGAGUUGACCCAGCUGAGAUUGGUAAAUAAUAUAGCUCUUUGCUUACCAGACCAUGCAAAGCCCUCACAAAGUAUAAUCCACGUUAUUUUGACGGGAAUGGCUGCUCCAGUUUCGGUAGAUCAGAGAUCUUGUGAAAACCUUGUGAAAUAACAUCCGGAAUACUGAAGUCCUGAAGAUGAUGAAGAUCCAGGGGUCCACUAUGGAAAUCACAGACAGGAAACGCAAGGCUUGGAGGUCUUCUGAGUCUCCUUCAGCUCUGUUCUCAAGUUUAAAGGCUCCAUAGUACGCACGAUACUGUUGGGAAGGAAAAAUCGUCACACAGAUAAAGAUAAAGAAGGUUGACAGAAGGAAGGAAUUCCAUCAUUUUGUUUGUCUUAGCCUGGAAUUCUCACCCUAUGGCUGAUGGAUGUGGAUGAGAAGCCUGAAAAGAGGAGCCUGAGGGACAUCGGGACCCAUCUGACUGCCUCCCUCAGGGCUGUUCUGCAUUCUCAGGUUUCCAGGAUGGCACAAGACUACAAAGACCCCAGGCUUCCCCACAAAAAUUCAUGAGGUGACCAGAUGAAAGAACUGGCCAUCUCAUGUAAACUGAUCCUUUUACUAAGGUAGAUUCUAUGUAAAAUGGGAGUAGGAGGUACCCAAAUAUAGAUGUCUACUUACCUGUGCCCAGCCUCCUUCUAUGCCUUGAUGUCACCUGGGUCCCUGCAGUUUCCUCAGAGCUUUGUGAAGUGCCUCAAAUCAUGACUCUCCCUGCUGACCUUCAGGUUACACUGCUACCUAGAUUGGCACAACUCCAGACCACCAUCUGAGGCUGGAUGCUUUUUCUUAUGGCAUUAGACUUCCCCUGCCUACUAGAUCCUAAAUCCNNNNNNNNNNNCCCAAACUUCAGAAAUCCAAUAUUAGUGGAAUAGUUGUGGUUAAGAGCACUGAAGGCCACCCAGAAACAUGUCUCAGAAAAGAUGCACGUUCCUAGAACCAAUCUUCUUAGCCUCUGACUCCCUUCUGUGCAUCAUUUCAGAGCAUGAGGAAGUUGUUUUACAUCACACUCAUCUGAUACUGAUAUAUGGACACUGUCUCUCUUUAUUCCUGCUUCAUAAUGCCAAUAGUAAUAAUACUGACUAGUGACUACUUAGACCCUCUACUUCCUUGGCAUGGUUCUAUGUCUUUUAAGGGUUCCCUGUUCUUACAAAAGGCUGUGUGUGAAGACAGUCAUUGUCUUCCUUGUACAAACCUGGAAAUGGGUUAAACAGACAAAAAGCACCGUCCUUCAGAUCAGCUUCAAAUAUUAUCCCUUUUAGGAGCCUCACUGAGAUGGUGGCUAAAGGUCUAAGCAUCCAGGUUAGAGUCCUCUCUUCAGACACAUGGCUUUUAGGGAAGAUGUGGUUUUCCUAGUUUUACAGGAAGGUCACUGUGCCUGGUUUCCAGGAUUCUCAGGAAGUCAGAAUGAGGUGGUGUGAAGAAAGCUUCAAGAACAGGUUCUGGUAUAUUAUAAACACUUGAUAAUUAACUUGUGUAUUAUUUUCUCAACCAGAAGGUGGCCCUUUAAUCUUCCAAGUUCUCCUUUAGCCUUCACCAUUCUUUUCCCUUGUAGCCUGUGAAGAUGCAUAGGAUGUUUCUCUCAUCUUUAUCUCACUCAGGUACAGAGUGUGCUGGAUAGGGUAGGUAGGAAGAGGUCUGAUAUCUACUGUAAGGAUAUGGCUCAGACCACAACCUUAUAUUGAUUUUAAAACCAAAGAUUUCACAGAUGUAGUAUAUAUUUGUUAGUUUCCUCCUCACGGAGGAAUGUGAUGAAAUGUAAUUCCAACCAAAAUUCCAACCAUGCAAGAAAGCUUGAUAAAGGAAUGGGUCUUUUAUAAUUAAAUAAAAACUUUUUAUUCUUUUGC